UACGAAGGUGGCAAGCGUUACUCGGAAUUACUAGGCGUAAAGGGCAUGUAGGUGGUUUGAUAAGUCUGUUGUGGAAGCUCCCGGCUCAACUGGGAGAGGUCAACAGAUACUAUCAGGCUUGAGUAUAGGAGAGGGUACUGGAAUUCCCGGUGUAGCGGUGAAAUGCGCAGAGAUCGGGAGGAACACCAACGGCGAAAGCAGGUACCUGGACUAUUACUGACACUCAGCUGCGAAAGCUAGGGGAGCAAACAGG
rnacentral:rRNA from 1 species